rnacentral:rRNA from 1 species
UACGAAGGGGGCUAGCGUUGUUCGGAUUUACUGGGCGUAAAGCGCACGUAGGCGGAUCGUUAAGUCGGGGGUGAAAUCCUGGAGCUCAACUCCAGAACUGCCUUCGAUACUGGCGAUCUUGAGUCCGGAAGAGGUGAGUGGAACUCCUAGUGUAGAGGUGAAAUUCGUAGAUAUUAGGAAGAACACCGGUGGCGAAGGCGGCCCACUGAUCCGGUACUGACGCUGAGGUGCGAAAGCGUGGGGAGCAAACAGG